GGACCCGCACAAGUAGUGGAGCAUGUGGUUUAAUUCGAAGAUACGCGCAGAACCUUACCAACACUUGACAUGUUCGUCGCGACUCUGAGAGAUUAGAGUUUUCGGUUCGGCCGGACGAAACACAGGUGCUGCAUGGCUGUCGUCAGCUCGUGUCGUGAGAUGUUGGGUUAAGUCCCGCAACGAGCGCAACCCUCACUUUUAGUUGCCAUCAUUUAGUUGGGCACUCUGAAAGAACUGCCAGUGAUAAGCUGGAGGAAGGUGGGGAUGACGUCAAGUCCUCAUGGCCCUUACGUGUUGGGCUACACACGUGCUACAAUGGUAUCUACAACAGGAAAGCAAGACGCGACGUC
rnacentral:rRNA from 1 species